rnacentral:rRNA from 14 species
CCGUACCGUAAACCGACACAGGUGGUCGGGAUGAGAAUUCUAAGGCGCUCGAGAGAUUCAUGGUUAAGGAACUAGGCAAAAUGGACGCGUAACUUCGGGAGAAGCGUCGCUCCCCUCCGGGGGAGCCGCAGUGAAUAGGCCCAGGCGACUGUUUAUCAAAAACACAGGGCUCUGCCAAAUCGAAAGAUGACGUAUAGGGCCUGACACCUGCCCGGUGCCGGAAGGUUAAAGGGAGAUGUCAGCCACUUGUGGUGAAGCAUUGAACUGAAGCCCCGGUAAACGGCGGCCGUAACGAUAACGGUCCUAAGGUAGCGAAAU